AGUGCUCCCGCCCCCGGCCAUGUCUUGCCCUUGGCCGCCCACCCUCCCGCUUACCUGUUCUCGCGGCAGCUUCCCCUCGACGGCCCUGUUUUGCUACUGGUUUAAGUGCCGGCCUGCUUGAAGGGGCGGGAGGUGACCUUGCCGGGGCACACAGAGGCUUCAAGAAUCCCCAAGGUCGGACCGUGCAACCCUCUGUGUUGGGCAGGAACUCCCUCCAAGCAUGCCCGAAGGGGGCUGUCCUGCCUCUCCUAUGCAGAAAAUGAGGAUUCCAGAUUAGCUGGGCAAUCAGAGAAGUGGGAUGCUUCUCUGCCAAAAUUUGCAAAGGGGCCCUGACCUGACAGUUCCCUUCUGACGUCAGCUCCCCAGCUCUGGGAAAAGCCAGCUACCAUGAUGUGAGGACACUCAAGCUGCCUUUUGGAGAGGCCCGUGUGGUGUGGAUCAGGGGCCUCCCACCCAGAGCCAUGAGAGUGAGCCAUCCUGGAGGUGGGUCCUUCAGCCCCCAUCAAGACUUCAGAUGCCCCAGCUGACAUCUUGGCUGUGACCUCAUGAGAGGCCCAGAGCCAGCACCACCCAGCGAAGCUGCUCCCGAAUUUCUGACCGCCGGCAACCAUGAGAUCAUCCGUGCUUAUUGUUUUAAGCUGCUAGGUUUGGGGAUGUUUGUUACGCAGCAAUAGAUAAUGAAUACAGGUACCUAGACCGGCAAGCUCUUACUCUCCUGCCUAUGCUUUCUCCAGUGAGGGAUGAUGACAGUAGUGAUGGUGAUCUGGU